CUACUAAAAGCAGAAUAAACAGAGCACACAGCAUGCCACGUAGGAUUUUUUAUUCAGUCCAAUCAGGUUCAUUUGUUUAUACACGUCAUACUUACCGUUUUCUUUUGCCUAAAGUCGAGUAAAAAUUUCGUGGGCUUCCUGAUUAAGCUUUGGGCUUUAUGGAAUUGCGACUCGGGCUUCGGGGUGCGACAAGAAUCAUUUAGUUGACCCGACCUCCGAAGAUGACGAUCCUCCUCACCCUUACCCCUUCGUUUUCUCCGAACGAAGAGAAAAGAACCGUAGACUCCAUCGAUUCAAUCCUACGCAAUCAAUUGUUUCGUUCCGAUCAAUCAAUACGCCCAUUAUGAUUCCGUCAGAUCGACUGGAGAAUCUGUUCCACCAGUGAAACUGUUUUCAGCGAGGUUAAGCCUCACGAGGUUAGUGAAACUGAACAAGCUCUCGGGUAUUUGCCGGAGAAUCUGUUUCCUUGCAGGUAGAGGUGACGGAGAUCGGAGGAGGUGGUUAGAUCGAGAGUGAGAGAGCCGGCGAGGGCGUUGAGACGGAGGCUCAGUGUUCGGAGACGAGUUAAGUUUCUGAAAACACUGUUCGGGAUGGUGCCGGAGAGAGAGACGCCGGGGAGACGGAGGGCGGUGACUCUGUUGUUGUCGCAUUUUACGCCGGCCCAGUUGCACGGCGAGGUGUGUCUGAUGUCCCAGCAGAAUGUGCGGCCGCCGACGGAGGAACGGAGAGAGAGAAGAGCGGCUCUAUCGGCGUUGAGGUCUUGGGUUGAAGGGAGAGGGAGAGAGAGUAGGAGGGUUGUGAGGAGAACAGAGAGAAUCGUCAUGGAGGAGUUGGGGAAGACUCACGUUGUGCGAUGAUUCAUAGAAGGAGAAGGAGAGAGAGAGAGAGAGACGGUAGAAGAAAGAGAAGGCUCUUUUGCAGAGCUGUGGUUAUAGAGACUGAAGUGAAAGCAUUCAACAGCCUAAUCCUAGAUGUAACAAACGCUGCUGCAGAAUGAAAAUGGAAUCAUGUAGGUUGGUUCUGCUGGCUCUGCUGCUGCUCCACGCACCCUCUCCUCUGAUGCGCCUGUGCUCGCUUCAGAGCCGCGACCAAAGCGUUGGAGAGCGAAGGCUGGGUCUGAAACAGAGGGUUUGGAUUCGUGGGAAGCCUGUUGAGAGCAACGUUGAAACAGAGCUCGAGAGCUCGGCAAUGGAGAGAAGGAUGAGCCAUUUGUCGACCGAGGGAUGUGAAAGGAUGAGACUUUAGACAUGCCCGUCGGAAAAGAUUGGAUUUGUUUUGUUUUUUAUUUUUGUUUUUUUGUCUUCACUGAUCCCAGAGUUGCUGAGAGAGUCUUAUUGCUUCUAUACGUAAUUGAUAUUAAAUUUUAAGUUUUCAUCAAAUUUCUUUUGAGCCAAUAUUUCAUUGCUUCAGUAUCAAUCUGCUUCUUACAAUAAUUCAUUGUUUGGAACAGAGGUUACUGCUCUUCCAGGUAAAGCUAUUCGUUUAAUCAUUCCUAUUUUUGACUAUGUCUUCUAAAUAUUUAUGCUGAUCUUUGUCAAAAGUUUUUGUAUUCUAGACAGAUAUAAUAAAGAGAAUCGUUGUUAUUUCAUGGUGCUUAAUCUAACUCAGCUGCUUUCUUGAAAUCUCAUUGGUCUGAUUUACUCACAAGUAUAAGGUUUACUCGCUAAACAGGUAAACAGUAUAUGAUAUGGGAAGGAGAAGCAGAUUCAAGCAGUUAUUAUUAAGGAAGACACUGAUCCUCAACUAAUAAUUUCUACAAGAACAUGUAUUACUUUGCAUAUUGAGUUCUUUAUGCUUUGGUAUUUCUUUUGUAGCUCAGUUCAAGUAUUUGUUCUGUCAUUAAAACCCUUCAUCUAAAACUACCUCUUUUUCUUAGGAGAGGUGAACCAGCAUGAAAAGGGAUUUGCAGGACCAGAGCGAAUUCAGAAGCUCGUGAAAAACUAUUAUCAGUUUGUUUCUCUCACUAUAUACACGUGGCAGGAAAAAAGGAUACACAAAACAGGUAUGAUCAACAUGAUGACAAAUAUCUGAACUUAAUCAUGGCGUAAAUGCCCCAAUGCUCUGCCUGCAAGGGAAAAAUGUUCUAUGUAGUUGAGUUACAUGUCAGAAAACAUCUAAGAUUCUUAUUUGGAUGCUUGGUUCUCUCUUAUACAGGUUGAAGUUGAUGAUGAUUCAGCUGUGCCGGAAAAAUGAGAUGAGCAAGAUGACCAAACUGAGGUAUACCUUCUUCUCUUAUCAUGUUCUGAUAAUUAUAUUGAUAAGCAUCAGAGAAAUAUAUUGAUCCGAAUCAGGGAAUAGCUAGAUGUUCAAGUAUCGUUGCUCACUACUUUUUAACGUGUAACCGAGAAAAAAAAGACCAAGAAGGUCGUUGAGAAAUACUGGGAGUGGGAGCUUGCUAAUGAGACGCAACCAAUUUGGGUAAGGAUUUAGGACUGCUCUAUGUAUCUCAUGUGCGCUAAGAAUCGAAAUUAUGGAACCAAUUAAAGAGUUUAUUUCUAUUUGUUGCAGCUCCAUAACUAUAAAGAGGUGACAACAGUGGAGUACAAUGAGUUUUACAGAAUAACUUUCAACAAGUAUUUGGACUCAUUGGCAUCACCCCACUUCUUAAUAGAGGUACGUUGGAGGGAAGACAUCUGUUGGAAUAGUAUAUAUCCAUGAAACAAUCCAAGCAGGUUAUGAUUUGUAUCUGUUAAAAAGUGGUGACACAAUGUUGAUCCACUAAUGAUAUAUUGUUCUUAAACUGUUACUUUUAAUUCUCUUAUUGUAGCGUGAGGUCGAGUUUUGAUCCAUGGGGAAGGAUGAUGUGGUUAAUUAAAAGACAAAGAACAUAUGUUUAUGUAAACGAGUUUUCAAAGUUAUUUUGACGGGAAGCUGGUGAGAGAAGUAUCUCUUGGUGUGGCAUUUCAAGAGAUUUGUUUUUCUAUUUUGUAUUGCUAUCCGCUUUUGUGGUGCUUUGUGAACAGAUUCCUCAGUAUUUGAGCUUUAUUGAGGGUGUUUGUGGACUCACACGAUCUUCCAUUAACGUGUAACAUGAGAUUCUUCAAGAAAGUCACACUAGGUGCAGAUCAUGAAGAAACGUCUGGUGGAGAAAGAUUCUGGUAUGAUUUUGAGAAUUUACCUGAGUGUAAAUAGAGAAGUAUGCUUCAAAAUUUUGACAAUAUUUUCUCUCUCUUUUUUGCCAUGUUACAAGUCCCUGAUAUGUUCUUUGAUGAUUUUCCUGACGAAUGAGAAUGACAAUGUUAAACUUUUUACUUACAAAGGACUAUAAUGGUCCAUAUCCAGCUCUAAUUUAGUAAUUUUACAGUUGAGUUAUAUAUUGGCUAACAAAUUUUAGCAUAAAGAAAAGGAAAUAUACGUAGAUGUUGUAUAUGUAAUAGCUAGCAUGGGAAACAAAUGAGAUAUGUGAUCUAUUAUGUUGAUCAUUUGUAAUAGCUUUUAUAAAUAUCCAACUUUUGUGCUCAUAUUUUUUUUGCUGGGCAAAUUAUUUUUUCCAGCAGUUUAUAUCAGGAGUCCGCUAUUGCCAUGCAGUAAGAAAUGACUACAAAUUUUUUUUUAACUCUCAGCAGACUUACUGAAGCUUUGUUUAUCAUUAAUUUUGUCACAUUAUUUUCCUUAUAUAGUAAAUACGACACAGAGUUAGAGAAAAUUGGAAAUAUAUCACUUUUUUAUAAUGAGGUUUGGAUGCAAUCAUAUAUGGCUCGGCUUUCCGUUUUGGUGCAAAGAAGAUUUUGUUUAGGAUAAGGUUAAUUUAGGUUUAGUUACAAAGUGGAUGAUGAUUUAAAAUCCUAGAAACUCGGAAUGACUCAUACCAAAUAUUAUUCCAGGUAUUAUAUAUUUUUUCAAUAUUUUACUAUUAAUAUUGAUUAGCAUGUAUUUUUCUUUCCUUUAAUGGGGGUUCAAUAGGAGAAUACAUGUAUCAGAAAUACACCAAUAACCAACAGUCAUUAGUACAUAAUGUUGAUUAACAUUAUAUUAUUAGUAUCUAAUAUCUACAAUGCCCUCUAUCUCCAUUUUUAGAACAUCGAUGAUAAAAAAAUAAGAACCUCAUGAACGCUAAUAAUAUUUUAAAAAA